rnacentral:rRNA from 1 species
CGUGUAGGCGGCUAAUUAAGUCAGGCGUGAAAUCUAUGGGCUUAACCCAUAAAUUGCGUUUGAAACUGGAUAGCUUGAGGAUCGGAGAGGGCAGUGGAAUUCCCAGUGUAGCGGUGAAAUGCGUAGAUAUUGGGAGGAACACCAGUGGCGAAGGCGACUGCCUGGACGACACCUGACGCUGAGGCGCGAAAGCUAGGGGAGCAAACGGGAUUAGAUACCCCGGUAGUCCUAGCCGUAAACGAUGGGUACUAGGUGUGGGAGGUAUCGACCCCUUCCGUGCCGCAGUUAACACAAUGAGUACCCCGCCUGGGGAGUACGGCCGCAAGGUUGAA